rnacentral:rRNA from 1 species
GGCCCAGACUCCUACGGGAGGCAGCAGUGGGGAAUAUUGGGCAAUGGGCGCAAGCCUGACCCAGCAACGCCGCGUGAAGGAAGAAGGCUUUCGGGUUGUAAACUUCUUUUCUCAGGGACGAAGAAAGUGACGGUACCUGAGGAAUAAGCCACGGCUAACUACGUGCCAGCAGCCGCGGUAAUACGUAGGUGGCAAGCGUUAUCCGGAUUUAUUGGGUUUAAAGGGUGCGCAGGCGGCGUGUCAAGUCAGCGGUAAAAUGUCGGGGCUCAACCCCGGCCGGCCGUUGAAACUGGCGUGCUCGAGUUGGAGAGAAGUAUGCGGAAUUCGUGGUGUAGCGGUGAAAUGCAUAGAUAUCACGAAGAACCCCGAUUGCGAAGGCAGCAUACCGGCUCCACACUGACGCUGAGGCACGAAAGCGUGGGUAUCGAACAGGAUUAGAUACCCUCGUA